rnacentral:misc_RNA from 1 species
AGGGGGAAAAAAAAAAAAAAAACCCUUGUUUUUGUCAAUUCCGAAAUCUAGCACCUCGCAUUCUGUAAUAGGUCAAGAGAACAACUGUAAGAUUUAAUUUUGAUCUGUCAUCCGCAAUCCUCAAGCAAUUAUGCUUUCUGUAACCCACCUGGACAAUAACUGACCUCCAUUUUCAAAACUAUCGAAUUCAGGGGAUAUAAUCCCAUAUCAAAUUUAAACAGCAUUGUAACAGAGCAUUUCAUUUCGCUGGACAAUCACAUAAACCAAAGUCGUUCGAGAACACUAGGCCUUUUCCUAUCAUUUCGAGAUCAUACAAAAAAUUUGAUCAUCGCUUGAAGAAUUGGACCAAUCGGUAAAGCGCAAAUUUAUUAAAUGAACUUAGGGAGCUCCAAUUCAAUGUUAACCAGAAUAUAACUGCAAAAUUUCCAUAAACAAGAAGCAAACCCCACGAAAGCAUUCAAAAAAAAAGUUGCAGAGAUAAGCACCUUCUCAUCCUGAUGAAGAGCAAU